rnacentral:rRNA from 1 species
UACGGAGGGAGCUAGCGUUGUUCGGAAUUACUGGGCGUAAAGGGCGCGUAGGCGGCCCGCUAAGUCGAACGUGAAAUCCCCAGGCUCAACCUGGGAACUGCGUCCGAUACUGGCAGGCUUGAACGUCCGGGAGAGGGAUGUGGAAUUCCAGGUGUAGCGGUGAAAUGCGUAGAUAUCUGGAGGAACACCGGGUGGCGAAGGCGGCAUCCUGGACCGGUAUUGACGCUGAGGCGCGAAAGCUAGGGGAGCAAACGGGG